CCUACGGGAGGCUGCAGUGGGGAAUAUUGGACAAUGGGGGGAACCCUGAUCCAGCCAUGCCGCGUGUGUGAAGAAGGCCCUCGGGUUGUAAAGCACUUUCAGUGAGGAAGAACGCCUGAUGGUUAAUACCCAUCAGGAAAGACAUCACUCACAGAAGAAGCACCGGCUAACUCCGUGCCAGCAGCCGCGGUAAUACGGAGGGUGCGAGCGUUAAUCGGAAUUACUGGGCGUAAAGCGCGCGUAGGUGGCUUGAUAAGCCGGUUGUGAAAGCCCCGGGCUCAACCUGGGAACGGCAUCCGGAACUGUCAAGCUAGAGUGCAGGAGAGGAAGGUAGAAUUCCCGGUGUAGCGGUGAAAUUCGUAGAGAUCGGGAGGAAUACCAGUGGCGAAGGCGGCCUUCUGGACUGACACUGACACUGAGGUGCGAAAGCGUGGGUAGCAAACAGGAUUAGAUACCCCUGUAGUC
rnacentral:rRNA from 1 species